rnacentral:rRNA from 1 species
GGGCCCGCACAAGCGGCGGAGCAUGCGGAUUAAUUCGAUGCAACGCGAAGAACCUUACCAAGGCUUGACAUAUAGAGGAAAAGUGCAGAAAUGCACUCCCCGCAAGGUCUCUAUACAGGUGGUGCAUGGUUGUCGUCAGCUCGUGUCGUGAGAUGUUGGGUUAAGUCCCGCAACGAGCGCAACCCUCGUCCUAUGUUGCCAGCAGUUCGGCUGGGCACUCUAUGGAAACUGCCUGUGAUAAGCAGGAGGAAGGUGUGGAUGACGUCAAGUCCUCAUGGCCCUUACGGGUUGGGCUACACACGUGCUACAAUGGUAGUGACAAUGGGUUAAUCCCAAAAAGCUAUCUCAGUUCGGAUUGGGGUCUGCAACUCGACCCCAUGAAGUCGGAAUCGCUAG